UUGCCCAAAACAAAACCCGAGCUGCAAAGGAUUGAUUUAUCCUGCGGACUCUGGCAGGCCGGCCUGUCCACCAGCACCGUCUGCACGCAGCGGGGACAACUUAGCACGUCUCGGAGCCGCUCUGCUCCCCUCUGCCACCCACCUGUCUCUUGGCUCCCCCUGCAUCCUGGGGCCUGGCCCAGCACUCGUCUUUGUCCUUGGCCCUGGGCUUAAGGAGAAGCUGAAGCUUUCUGCAACCUGGCAGCCUCCAUCCUAAAGCCUUCUCUCACCCGGUGGGCUUAGCCAGAGAGGACCCCGAUGCUGUCGGGGAAACAUUUCCGACCCCAGACCAGGACAAGAGCGGCUUGGCUGAAGAGGCGCGAGAUUGAUGUUCUUGAAGAUACUGUGUAUCCGUGUCCAUGCUGUCGGGCUAUGGCUCAAAAGGCAUCACAUGAAGGGAAGAUUAUGUGGUAUUUUUAAAAAAUCACGUGUAUUCAUUAUUUGUAACCCCACGUUUUAAUCUCCCUGGGCCCCCUUUGAGCACGGACUUGGUUCCCAAAACAAUAUUAUUUAGCCUCGAAUUAGGGUUUGCAUCCAGAUUUAUCCACGGGAAAUAAAAUGGGGUGGGAGACGUCAUACAAAAUUGAGAUGGGCGACAUGGUAAGAAUUACAGGGAGAGGGGCAAGAGGCCAGCCACUGGGCAGCCCUGUGUGAGGAGCGAGGCCGCUGCUCCCAGAGAGUGGCCCAGGCUGGAAGCAUCCAGACCUUUCUUUACAGGCGUCACAGAAUCAGCAGCCUCGGGAGAGGCCGGUGCGGGUAACACAGAGACAGCCAUGAGGACCCCUUGGGCAAGACGUACAGAAAGCCUCCGCAGACACCAAUCACUGCUCGUGGUGGCCAAGGGCGCCUCAAAUCUUGAAAGAGCAGGUACGUCCAGAGUGGGGAGGCGGUCCCCAGGCCACAGCCUCAGGAGCUCGCAGCAGUGGCCGUGCCCCCAGCCCCACCGCGAGGAUGAGGUGCCCAACUAUUGAGACUCGAGGAGUGUAGCCCAACUGCAAGAGCCACCCAGGUCCACACGACCGCGCCCCACUGCAUCUGGGGCUCAGCCUUUGGAUAGGAGUCCGCUGAGCCAGUGCCAGCACGAAUCAACGCUGCUUCCUGGCGAGAAGCCUUGGUGUCUCAUUUCUCUGUACGCAAGUCCUGCAACGCUGCUAUCUAGGGCAUGUUUGAGAGAUGCCCCCCCAAAUCGCUCAAAUCUGGCAGUCUCCUGGGAGGCCUCACAGAAUUCAUCAAGGGCCACUGGACUCACGGCUAUGGCAUCAAGGACACAGAUGAGGGUCAGCCGAGGGAACCGGCACUCGAGCAGGUGCAGGAGGGAUCCCUGCGCAGAGAGGCUGCUGCCCCCUCGCAUGGCGUCACGCAGGUGACAUCACGCAGGGAGUCCUACCAGCCAGGGAGGCUCACCCAUACGCUGGUGUCCAGGGGUUUCGUUGGGCUCCAUCACACACCCGACGGCUGACCUCCUGGAGGGGGGGACACCUGCCCCCAAACCCUGACAGAGACGCUCCUUGCCUAGACGCACUCACACUCCUCUGCGCCCCCUUCUCAACGAGGCCUCCACCUUGGCCUCCAGGAACUGCAAACUCGGCACAAACGCUUUCAUCCACCACCACCGGCCACACUCAGAGCCUCGAGCAAACACUAGCCUGGUGUCUCUGGGAUGAGCAAGUCACCCCAAGCCCCCCGAGGUUCCCGCCUGGGAAAGCUCAAGGAAGCCAAAGUAAUUUACACUCUGGCCCAAGAGCUUUGCCUCCAAGGUCUCAUACAACGGCCCUCCCUUUCUGCCAUGUUCCCACUGCCCUGACUCUGCCUGAACCUCUGCUCAUCGCUUUCUCUUCCUCCCUCUAAAAUGCCCAGUCGCCGCUGCACAGGCGUUGAGCUCAGUUUAUGCAGAAGCCCCUCUUGGAGUAGAAGGCCGAAUGAAAUACAUCACACGGCCCACAGCUAAUGUCUGGCUCAGGUUCGCCUUGGCAUCAAUUACUGGAAAUCACAUCGCUUAAUGGUGAUUUCCAGCAAACAAGACACUCCUAUCAGGCAGGGCAUUUCGGGAGCCCAGGGCACAGGCAAUUCUCCAGGGAGAGUAAAUUCUCUCUGGACGUGAAUCCCCCAGGUCCUGGCCUGGGCAGGGAGCAGCUUGGAAGGGGAUGGCUGGGCAAGCCUCCCGGACCAGCUGGCCCUGGGAUGAGGUGACAGGAAGAGGAAGCUGUGGCUGGGGGGUGGUAGGAGCCACCAAGGGGGCAGCAGGGAGUCACCACGGAGGUCCGUGGUCCUCCCACUGAAGCCAGGAAAGAGGGGGGUGUCGCCCACUAGGAACUGGGAGGGUCUGGAGUCCUGUAAGGACCGCCAGACACCAGCGGCUGGGCUUCUUUCUCUUCUUUCUGGUGCCUCCUGGAUGAAAACAUUAUUUUUUAAAUUAUUGGGAUAAGGACAGUUAGCAUGAGAUUUACUCUCUUCAAUCGCCAAGGGUACAACCAUAUUGUUAACUGCAGGCAAAUGUACAGCAGACCUGUAGAACUUUUGGAAAGACGUCCUACAACCCUCUCUAAAGAUGAGAAGAGGGGGGGCAGCUGACCUGCCCAGGACAGGAAAGCCAGCAGAUAAGGAGGUACUGCGGAGUGGACACGGUGCCCAGCACCGCCCGGGGCACAUGACUCCCCGCAGUUCUUAUAAAUACUUCCUGGAGGCCGGUCUUUUUAUGGCCAUUACUGUUGAGGAAAUCAAUUGAGAGACAAUGGGACUCUCAAGUGAUCACACAGCGGGUAAACAUAGCCGAGUGGGGACCGGCUCCCGACUCUUCUGCCAGCUGCCUGGCACCGUCUAUGAAAUGCGCAUGCGCCAGCCCCAGACUGCACGGGACCAGGCGGCCCUGCAGCCCCGCCCAACAAGGCUCCCAGCCGUCACUGCAUCUCCCUCUGCGGGACUUGGUUGGCUUUGGAGUUGCAAAGAGACUCAUUCUCUUAAACAAGGAACAUAUCUAAGUGCUUUGCCUCAACAAGAUUCAGACACAAGUUAAUCAAUCUCCAAGCCGUUUUCCUAGCAGUGGUCGUACGGUGAUGCGAGAACGUGAGUUCAUAAGGCUGUAACAUCCAGCCCUUCCUCUCUUGUCUUAUUUGCACAUUAGUGUUUCUUUUUUUGUUUAUUGGGUUUUUUUUUUCCCCCUUUCUUUUUUUGGCUGUGCCAUGGCAUGUGGAAGUUCCCAGCCAGGGAUCAAACCCGUGCCAUAGCAGUGACCUGAGCCACAGCAGUGACAACACUGGAUCCUUAACCCACUGAGCCAGCAGGGAACUCACUCUUGUUUGUUUUUUUAUUGUCCCCCUUCCCUGAAAGGUCCCCACUUCAGGACAGGGGGGGGUCUUGUGUCUUAAUCAACACUCUAUCUUUAGCAUCUUGACAACAAAGUCAUGUUAAAGUAAUGAUACCGCACCCGUGAGAACAGACACACAAAGGGCUCCUUAUGAGAAACACAUGCUUAAGCUUCCAGCCAAAAGCCCCAGCUUUUGAAAAGAAGAAUCUGAUCAAAUUUGACCUCGUUUAAAUCGGUCCAAAUCCCUGAACAUCGAAGCAAAUCUUUCCUCAUUCGCUCUUAAAUUGGACAAGUUUUAGUUUGGUUGCUGAUGAUAAUAUUUGUUUUAAGAAGGGUUUCGCUAUAUCCUCGUUAACACAUUUUGGUUUUGUGGAUCGAUUUGCUGGAUUCAAAACAAAACCCUCUUCACGGUUGGACACGGAGCCUCCCGUUCGGUUCUCGCCCUCGGAGUUGCCGUCCUCUAGCGACAUCUACAGGCCGCUGCAAAAUGUGCGCCCACGAACAGCAAUGCCGAGCAGCCUGGAGAGCUCAGCGGUCCACUGGAAACCGAUAUGCCAGCGUGCGCACACACACGCACACGCACUUUUUUCAAUCUUGUAUUUAUAUUAUUAUCAAAAACCCAUCAUAUGUUACGUAAUCUUUAACCAAAAAUUCUCCUAGUAACUUACAAUUUAAAAAGAAACUGAUUUCCUCUCCUGACCAAGAUGAACUCGUCGGGAUUGAAUGAACCUUCCCGCCU